CUGGGGAGAAGGCUUAAUAGAAACCCGGAUACAGCUGCAUGCAUGCGUCUGUAAUCCCGGUGCUCCUGCGGUGAGAUGGGAGCAGGAGAAACACCCUAGCUCCUGGGCCAGCUAGCAUGGCAUUGCAAUGGUAAACAGACAGGGUCUCAAACAAGAUGGAAGGUGGGCCAUAGGCAAAUUAGGCAUGGAACUCGGACAAAUCUGGUUGGUUAAUUUGAAUCGACAUGGGAAAUUCUGAUUGGUUGAUGGAUUGAGUGAAAGUGAACAGGCUCAAGAAAGAGAGGGAGGAAAUGACGCAACGUUUUAUAUAAAUUGAGAAUGAAAGGCUGGUGAUCAGCCGUCACCUAGUAAGUCUAGGCUCUUUUGGAUUUCAGUUCUUGAACUUGGGGAUUGGGAAGUAUUUAUCAUAUAACUGUUAAGGGGAGUUUUAAGUUUGUAGCCAGCUGAAAAUCUUUUUUUCCGGCGGGCUGGGAUUACACUCCCUUUGGACACAAGAAGCUUUAAAGUCUGUCCACUAUUGAACAUGGCGAUUGGAAGACCAGGCACUGCUUGGCAGUUCACUUCCGUGUGUUGAGCUGCCUGGGGAAGUUAACUGGGUGAAGAGUGGAGGACAGCCGGCGGUUAUAUAUGCAUCUCCAGUUUGAUAACUCUGAUAACCGUGAAGCAGAAGAAAGAAAGAUGGAUCCAGUUCUUCUAGGACCAGGCAUCAGAGCUUUGAGGGGACACUUCUGGCCGUCUACGAACAGCCACUACAAUUUCCUUCAAGUUUAUCAGUGAAAGAAAAUGGUCAGCUAAGAGCUAACAAACAUCUGAAAACAAUAUGGCGGACAGGAAAACCCAGUGCCCUGGAGAACAGGGGAGAACCUGUGUUUCUGUUAUAACAGGACUGUGCAAGCUAUCUGAAUUGCAGCCGGCCUAGAGGCAUGGUACAAAGUGAUCCUAACACCUACUACCUGUCUGCUGCCCCACCCCAAACAAGGCAGGAAAAGGAUGCUUGACUUCACAUGGUUCCCAAAUGCUUGUCCCCAGAGGCAGACUGUGUGUAAAGAUGUGUUCAUCAAAUAAGGAAGAUGGCAUGGUAUUUACACAAACAGGCUGGAGUACAGUUACCUGCCCACUUCUCUUCCACAAGAGGAAUUGUUCCUUGUUCUAAGAUGGAGGACCUUGCCAUAUAGAUA
rnacentral:sRNA from 1 species